rnacentral:lncRNA from 1 species
GAUCAGCCCUUAUAAGGGAAAGGGAAGGAAAGAAAAAAAGAGGAGGAAAGGGAAGAGUGAACAUCAUCUUUGUUUAGAUAGCCCUCAUAAGGAAAAGAAAAGGAGAUUAAAAGAUCAUUAUACCCUAAUUUUAUUUUAAGAUCUACAGGUAUUUUUAUCUUUUAAUCUGUCACAAGUUUCUUUCCCUCUCGAUUCUUUUAAAUUGAAAAAAUUAGAAAACUAUUUAACGGAG